ACACCCAUCAAGCCUGGCUUGGUAUUGGGCGUCGGGACCCCCCGCGCCCCGAUUUCGCCGGCUGGACGACCCCGAUCUCAAGCGUUGUGAUGAAUCUCGCUGGAGGGACGGGCGGCCACGCCGUUAACCUCGUAAUCAA
rnacentral:misc_RNA from 1 species